GAGUGGCGGUGGGCGGCUUUCCGAGAGGAGGAAAGUCCCCCCACCGUAAAGGGCGGAUCCCCGUAAGGGGAUGUGCCGAGAGGCACGGCAACGGCACAGAAACGGCACCCGCUUGGGGUAAUGCGAGGAUACCGAAAGGUUGAGGUCACCCAAGCGGGAUGAAACGGCCGUCCCCGCUGGUGCAAGGUUUAAACCGCUUAGACCAAUGCCGCCUAAAACAGAAGGGGGCUUAUCGCCGCCACUC
rnacentral:RNase_P_RNA from 1 species